GAUAUUCAGUGUUUGUUUGCCUGACAUAUUUGUUUGUUCGUCUUUCUGACGAAUGAAUGGAUAAAAUUCCCAUUCACAUGCCCAAGUGUUUAACAUGCGUGGGAAUUUCACAGCGCUAUCUAGUGUGGGCAGAUGAUGUGUCCCACUGGGACUUCAUCUACCCACACAAAGAUGGCGUCGCCCAGAACAUAGGUCCGGGCAGAAAAUAAAGUUUAGGGGUAUUUGGAGGUGACUAGGGGUCAGUUAGAUGUAGUGGAGUCGGGAGAUGGGGUUAAAAGUGUGACAGCCCGUGCUAUCACUGGGGGUUAAAGACAUAACUCCAUGAUGGCAUACCCUGUCAGACGGUCCUUACAGGGUUAACAACAAAAG